CGAGUGGCGGACGGGUGAGUAACGCGUGGGUAACCUGCCUCAUACAGGGGGAUAACAGUUAGAAAUGACUGCUAAUACCGCAUAAGACCACAGCACCGCAUGGUGCAGGGGUAAAAACUCCGGUGGUAUGAGAUGGACCCGCGUCUGAUUAGGUAGUUGGUGGGGUAACGGCCUACCAAGCCGACGAUCAGUAGCCGACCUGAGAGGGUGACCGGCCACAUUGGGACUGAGACACGGCCCAA
rnacentral:rRNA from 1 species